GGGCCCGCACAAGCAGUGGAGUAUGUGGUUUAAUUCGAAGCAACGCGAAGAACCUUACCAGGUCUUGACAUCUAACGAAUCCUUUAGAGAUAAGGGAGUGCCCUUCGGGGAGCGUUAAGACAGGUGGUGCAUGGUUGUCGUCAGCUCGUGUCGUGAGAUGUUGGGUUAAGUCCCGCAACGAGCGCAACCCUUAUGGUUAGUUGCUACGCAAGAGCACUCUAGCCAGACUGCCGUUGACAAAACGGAGGAAGGUGGGGACGACGUCAAAUCAUCAUGCCCUUUAUGACCUGGGCUACACACGUACUACAAUGGCGAUUAACAGAGGGGAGCAAUACCGCGAGGUGGAGCAAAUCCUAAAAAAUCGUCUCAGUUCAGAUUGUAGGCUGAAACUCGCCUACAUGAAGUCGGAAUUGCUAGUAAUCGCAGAUCAGCAUGCUGCGGUGAAUACGUUCCCGGGCCUU
rnacentral:rRNA from 1 species